AUUCUGCCCAUGCGGGGAAGGAUGAGAAGCUUCGACCAAGGUUCGACUCGAGCGCCAGCGAGAGAGCGUUGCCGCAGGCAACGACCCGAAGGGCGAAGCGCG
rnacentral:sRNA from 1 species